rnacentral:rRNA from 1 species
UACAGAGGUCUCAAGCGUUGUUCGGAUUCAUUGGGCGUAAAGGGUGCGUAGGCGGCGCGGUAAGUCGGAUGUGAAAUCUCGGAGCUUAACUUCGAAACUGCAUUCGAUACUGCCGUGCUUGAGGACUGGAGAGGAGACUGGAAUUUACGGUGUAGCGGUGAAAUGCGUAGAUAUCGAGAGGAACACCUGCGGCGAAGGCGGGUUGCUGGGCUGACACUGACGCUGAGGCGCGAAAGCGUAGGGGAGCGAACGGG